rnacentral:sRNA from 1 species
GCUGGGUGUGGUGGUGCAUGCUUGUAAUUCCAGCAGCUUGGGAGGCUGAGGCAGGAGGAUCGCAAGAUCAAAGCCAGCCUCAGCAUCUU